GGAGCCGUGUUGUUCCUUGGACAUACAUACCUUUCCCAGUGUGAGGGACAUGGACCGUGCCGUGCGAGGGACCCCAUCUUCUGCAGCAGAGGAGAACGGAGAAGAGAACACAGGGAUUCCUGUUGCUAAAGGGUCUGUUUUCUCCUGCUAGCCACCUUCAUCAGCCAGAGUCCAAACCCUGACAGUGCCCACAAAGAGAUCUGGUCCAAGGCACCAACCUCUUCCUCCUGGACUGAGAAAGAGCCUCCCAACUCGUCUCUCUUGACCUUGCCUUUUGCACAACUCCAAUAUAUUGUCCACUGAAGUCAGAAUAAUCUAAAAACAAAGCCUGAUUACGUCAUGUGGUGUAAACUUACCAAUGACUCCCUGUUGCCUAAAGGCAUAAAUUGCUAUCGUGGCCUGGCAUAUGGCCCCGGUCUUCCAAGUCUCAGUUUCAACCUGUCACUACCACACCCAACACUGCCACUAUGGCAAACUGUUUGUUUCAACUUCUUUUCACCCUCAACCUCCACACCUUUGUCCAUGAUGCUUUCUCCACUCGGGAUGUAUCUUCCUCUGUUGGCUGGAGAACUCCUAUUUUUACUUUAAAACACCGACCAGAUAGCCUCCCUCUUUGAAGCCCUCCUUGUCUCCCUUCAAGGCAGAAUCAGGUUGCCCCUCCUCUGUGCUCCUACAGCAAUCCGUAUAGAACUUCUAAACACGAGCAUUUCUUUGAAACAUUU